UGUUGGAUGUGGGCCAGUUUUUUGCAGUGAAGUCCGCGUCCUGAUAUAUGUUUAUGCUUCGAUGCUUCUUCUGAUUUUUGGUUGGCCGCUGUUCGCCUAGAUGUCCCGUCGCUAUCGAUCUGUGCCGCUGUUGGGUUUUUAUUGGCCGCUGUUGGUCCGAUUGUUCUGUCGCUGUCGAUCCUUGCCGCUGUUGGGCCAGGUCGCUUUCUGGCUUUCUAUUCGUCGUUGGGUUGUGUACCAGUUGCUAUUGGGCCAAUCGUCGUGUACCAGUUUGAUCCUGUCGCUGUCGCUGCGUGCGUGUCGCUGUUGGUUCCCGCCCGCCGCUUAUCACCGCCGCCUGCCGCUCUCUAGACUCUGUGGAUAGACUUCCACCGUCCACCGUCUACGCAGCCGGGCGCUGAUCCACCGUCGUCAGGCCCUAUAAAAGGCUCCCGGCUCGCCUCUGUAGGAGCAGGCGUGGUGCUGGAAGUCUGGAACAGUGAUGGGACUGAGCGGCAGUGGUGGCGCUACAGCAACAUGACCGAAGGGGCGGCUCUCUCCUACAAAACUGGCGGUGCCCCUCCUCAUCCUGAUGUAUGUGUUGUUCUAUUUUUCACUUGCGCCUGCAGGCGGCAGCUCCCUCCACCACCCCUCCUCACCUCCGUCCCCCAGCCGCCCCCCGUACGCGCCGCCCUGCUGGUGGAGCUCACCUGCGCCGCCAUGGAUCUCGUCGGUGUUGGAGGCCUGUUCUGCAACGUUGGCCUCCCCAAGGUCCUGCUGGUGACCUGGACGCUCGCCGGCGCUGCUCCGGUUCCUCAUGCCGGUGUGAUUUAAGAACCAACCAGCGGGCACUCCUAUUAUUUGUGGUGUCCGUCCACGCGCGGCGGUGUGGUAGCUAGAGAGAGGAGCGGCGACGAGGUAAGUGAGAAUCGCGACGCGUAGAGGUCCAUCAGUGAUUCUAAGUGCGGCGGCCAAGACAAACGAGUCAUCCUAUCUGAAACCGACGGAAUUCUGUUUAAUUGGCCAUUGUUUCGUGUACUAUGCAGGGUGAUCUUUACCUCAUUUGUCUUUUGACCUGAAUAUUGUGGUUGGUUCCACGCAGCAGAUGCAGGCACAAUGCUGCGAGGUACUACACCCUGUUGCAACUCAAGUUGGCGUUGAGGAAGAAGAGGGUGGAACCUGAUGGCCGAGUGCCGCGCGCCGCCGCAAGCUCCUGAACGACCAUCUCUCGAUGGUCCGCUCCGUGGUGCGGUGGUCCCCAAGAUGAGCAAGGUCUUGUGGUCUCUUUGCCUGAUUAGGAUCCUAAUGAAGUUCGUUGGUGGCUGCAGUAAAACUGUGGUUGGGUGCUGUUGAUUUUGUGGUGGUAGGCUGUUUUUCGAUUUGGUCCACUUUGCCGGACAGGUGAUGGUCGGUGUCGUGGUUAUUCUACAGCCAAGCUGAAUAUACACCCCACCUGAACUAUCUCCAUUGUACAGAAAAAAGUUCAUCAUAAUCACUACGUCAACUGCUAAUUCUCUUCAUGGGAUCACCACUUCUAUCAAGUGGAAUCUACCGAGCCAUUGCUUCAGAUGGAGGCAGCAGCUAUUACUACCAAACCUUGAAAAGCCAUUGGAAACAACCCUGCAACCUUUUCCGACAGUAGCAGAGGUAAUUUAUAGCCUAGGUAAUCCUCAGAUUUUUUUUCCCGCAUGGUGAAAGGGAGUUUUAUUCUUAAUUGAGCAGUGUAUCAGAAUACUAGAGGAUGAAAACAAUACAGCCAAGAAGAGAGAAGGAAGACAAAUGUCAGCGGGGAAAUCAAAAAGGGGUUUGGCAGAUAUUAUUUUUACAUGUACAACAAAUUCAUCUUAUUUGCUAUUUCAAUGUAGUAUUGUUGUUUUUGCUUUUUUAUCAGUAAUUAAGUAGCCAGGGAGCUGUCUACGCAUGAAGGCUGAAAACGGAGUAAGCUACUUGCUAACAACAAGAAAGGACCAGCUUAGUUCUACACUGUAGCUUGAGUGCUUUGUAUGCACAACUAAAGCUGUGUACUGUAAUAAGACAAACUUACCACUCUACUUGGACUUAUCCAGUCCUUUUGACCUGUUGUAUAAUAUAACCAAGUUUUCAUAGAUGCAACUGGGACAUCGUUGAAAUUGUGUACUGUAAUAGUAUGGUAGGCUUGGUGCUCUACUUAUAUGUACACAGUGCUUCUGUAUGUAAUGUAAUGUAUAACUAAGUGUACAUACUCGAUGACAUGUCUAGCGAUCUAGCUUUUUCGCUUGCUAUUAAGCUGAUAAAAGUGUUCUUUUUCUACAGAUGUAGCUUGGGUUAUGACUGUUACAUGUUCGAGACACUCCUACCUCUGAUCAUUGGCCAACACAUGAUGAGUGGUGAAGCGGCAGCUACAUGGACUUACCGACGCUCAUACAUUGUAAUGGUAAUUCACUCGUGUUCACCAUGGUGAUAAAGUGAGAGACGUGUGCUGGUGAUGCAAUUCUUACACAGAGCCAGCUUAAUCUUAGACCAUAUAUGUUCACUCAUGUGAUAGUACUAAUUCACUGAAAUAAUCCCCUUUGCAUUGCACUAUUUCGUCAAAAACCUAGUUUUAAGAUUAGUUUCAGUUUGUCCACAUAGAUUACUCAAUAGUUAUACACUUUCACCCUGAUAAUUUGGCCCUGUUGUAAGCAUACCCUCUCUUUAAUUUCUAAAAUAUACACCAUAUUUUGAUCCAUUUCUUAAGGAUUAGUUUUAAGUUUUCACACUUAGAUUGCUCAAUAGUUUUAUUGGUAAUUUGGCCCAGUUUUAAUCAUAACCCCUUUUCAUUUUGUAAUACACCAUAUUUUGAUCCAUUUCAAGAAUUCAUGCCUGAUAACAAGGCUCAUGCACCAUGGUGCUUGGGGGAGGAUCAGACCUCUUAUGUGUUUUGCCUUCAAAUAUGAUUGAGGCUAAUGAAUUCUACGAAGAAGCAAGUGAUUGUUCCAGGAAGCUACUCCCUCCGUCCCAUAAUAUAAAAACGUUUUUUACACUACACUAAUGUCAAAAACGUUCUUAUAUUAUGGGACGGAGGGAGUAUGUUACAAUUCUAUGUGUGGUCUGCUUGAGUGUUUGUCAAUAUAUCAGUAUUCUGAAAACCAUACUGGUAGCGUUUAGUUUAAUAUAUCAGUCAUUUUUACACUUGCUAUUGGGUUAUCUGUGUGCACAUCCCUAGCAUUGUCUUUCUUAAAAUCAUCUCAUUUUUGCCACUAUCUUCUAUAUAUUACAAUGUAUCAUUGUGAAGGCACCAUGGUAAUUAGAACAAUUGAACACAAAUCGAUACUUUGGGAGUGACAAGCCCAUAUGGAUCUUCAAAGUUAUAAGUACAAAUCCUGGCCCUAUAGUCAUGUUUCUGCAUAUACCUUUCGAGAGUGGUUUUUCUAUAGGUUCACAAAACCUGAUGGGGAAAAGCACCGCUAUAGAUUUUGGGAAGGAAAGAGAUAGCAUUGUGCGCGUCUUUCUUAGGAAAAUACAUCAACUGUCCAACUUAAGAGAUCUAAGUUCUCAAAUAUGCCUUGGCGCACUACUUACCUUAUUAUAGCUAUAUAUAAUCACAUAUACAGGGAAUUACACAGGAGCACCUAGGUGCUCCACCCACCCACAUCAGUACCGUUGUACCGAAUAUACACAUCUUUUAGCGUAGAUUGUGGUGGACUUGAAAAACCCUGCAACUCAGCAGUACCAACGUAAUGUGUUGCAACUUUUUCACUAUUACACGCAGAAAAUUUCACUGCAAUACAUCUACAGGGCGCGGCUACAUGGCUAGUUCCAACUAGACUUCAAAACACAUUGAAAGAUGGGAGAGCAACCUAGUAUCUGGAUGGAUUCUCCUCCGAGUGAGAUGGUUCCCUUGGUUGUAAACGAUGCUACUCUAUUGAUUGAAUAAAGGAGGAACCAGUUUUUCAAAAAA